rnacentral:rRNA from 1 species
CCUACGGGUGGUAGCAGUGAGGAAUAUUGGUCAAUGGGCGCGAGCCUGAACCAGCCAAGUAGCGUGAAGGAUGACUGCCCUACGGGUUGUAAACUCCUUUUAUAAAGGAAUAAAGUGAGGCACGUGUGCCUUUUUGUCUGUACUUUAUGAAUAAGGAUCGGCUAACUCCGUGCCAGAAGCCGCGGUAAUACGGAGGUUCCGGGCGUUAUCGGGAUUUAUUGGGGUUAAAGGGUGCGUAGAUGGGUUGUUAAGUCAGUUGUGAAAGUUUGCGGCUCAACCGUAAAAUUGCAAUUGAUACUGGCAGUCUUGAGUACAGUUGAGGUAGGCGGAAUUCGUGGUGUAGCGGUGAAAUGCGUAGAUAUCACGAAGAACUCCGAUUGCGAAGGCAGCUUACUAAACUGCCACUGACAUUGAUGCUCGAAAGUGUGGGUAGCAAACAGGAUUAGAUACCCGAGUAGUC